UCCGGUUUGUCACCGGCAGUCUCCUUAGAGUUCCCGACUUUACUCGCUGGCAAAUAAGGACAAGGGUUGCGCUCGUUACGGGACUUAACCCAACAUUUCACAACACGAGCUGACGACAGCCAUGCAGCACCUGUCACUCGGUUCCCGAAGGCACUCCGCCGUCUCCGGCAGAUUCCGAGGAUGUCAAACCCAGGUAAGGUUCUUCGCGUUGCAUCGAAUUAAUCCGCAUGCUCCGCCGCUUGUGCGGGCCCCCGUCAAUUCCUUUGAGUUUUAGCCUUGCGGCCGUACUCCCCAGGCGGGGCGCUUAAUGCGUUAGCUACGGCACGGAUUCCGUGGAAGGAACCCACACCUAGCGCCCACCGUUUACGGCGUGGACUAC
rnacentral:misc_RNA from 1 species